rnacentral:rRNA from 1 species
CCUACGUGUGCAGCAGUGGGGAAUAUUGGACAAUGGGCGAAAGCCUGAUCCAGCCAUGCCGCGUGUGUGAAGAAGGCCUUCGGGUUGUAAAGCACUUUCAGUGGGGAAGAAAGCCUUGGGGCUAAUACCCUCGAGGAAGGACAUCACCCACAGAAGAAGCACCGGCUAACUCCGUGCCAGCAGCCGCGGUAAUACGGAGGGUGCGAGCGUUAAUCGGAAUUACUGGGCGUAAAGCGCGCGUAGGCGGUCUGAUAAGCCGGUUGUGAAAGCCCCGGGCUCAACCUGGGAACGGCAUCCGGAACUGUCAGGCUAGAGUGCAGGAGAGGAAGGUAGAAUUCCCGGUGUAGCGGUGAAAUGCGUAGAGAUCGGGAGGAAUACCAGUGGCGAAGGCGGCCUUCUGGACUGACACUGACGCUGAGGUGCGAAAGCGUGGGUAGCAAACAGGAUUAGAUACCCGUGUAGUC